rnacentral:misc_RNA from 1 species
AGUAGAUGUUCAGAACAUCCUUGAAACACUUGGAGCUGGUCAUGGUGGAAGGGUAAAACUCGCAAGGAAGUAUCAUCAAGCAUUAGAGGCAUCUAUUGCUCGAAAUUUUCCUGAUAAUGGAAUUAUUUCAUGCAUGAGCCAUAGUAAUGAUAGUUUGUUCAGUGCAAAGCGUUCAGCUGUAAUUAGAGCAUCGGAUGAUUUCUGGCCACGAGACCCUGCAUCACACACAAUUCACAUAGCAUCAGUGGCGUACAACACCAUUUUCCUUGGUGAAUUCAUGCAGCCUGAUUGGGAUAU